rnacentral:rRNA from 1 species
AGAGUUUGAUCCUGGCUCAGGAUGAACGCUAGCGGCAGGCUUAAUACAUGCAAGUCGAGGGGGCAGCAAUGUCACCGGCGAACGGGUGCGUAACGCGUAUGCAACCUACCUACAUCAGGGGGAUAGCCCUAGGAAACUGGGAUUAACACCGCAUAAUACUAGACACGGCAUCGUGAUUAGUUGAAAUAUUUAUAGGAUGUAGAUGGGCAUGCGUAGGAUUAGCUAGUUGGUAAGGUAACGGCUUACCAAGGCUACGAUCCUUAGGGGCUCUGAGAGGAGUAUCCCCCACACUGGCACUGAGAUACGGGCCAGACUCCUACGGGAGGCAGCAGUAGGGAAUAUUGGGCAAUGGAGGCAACUCUGACCCAGCCAUGCCGCGUGCAGGAAGACGGUCCUCUGGAUUGUAAACUGCUUUUGAAUGGGAAGAAUGUGCUCCUUGCGAGGGGUAAUGACGGUACCAUUAGAAUAAGCCACGGCUAACUACGUGCCAGCAGCCGCGGUAAUACGUAGGUGGCGAGCGUUAUCCGGAUUUAUUGGGUUUAAAGGGUGCGUAGGCGGCUUAAUAAGUCGGUGGUUAAAAGUAGCAGCUUAACUGUUUUACAUGCCAUCGAUACUGUUGAGCUUGAGAUAUUUGGAGGCAGCUAGAAUUUCCGGUGUAGCGGUGAAAUGCAUAGAUACCGGAAGGAAUACCAAUUGCGAAGGCAGGUUGCUACGAAUAAACUGACGCUGAUGCACGAAAGCGUGGGGAUCAAACAGGAUUAGAUACCCUGGUAGUCCACGCCGUAAACGAUGAUUACUAGUUGUUGGGGUUUAAGCCUCAGUGACCAAGGGAAACCGAUAAGUAAUCCACCUGGGGAGUACGCCGGCAACGGUGAAACUCAAAGGAAUUGACGGGGGCCCGCACAAGCGGUGGAGCAUGU